GGCUGAUAUCAGAUGGUGACUUUGAGACCUGUGGCUCAGCAACUCUAGCAUGCAGAUCUGAGGUCAACAUGCAGACCUCUGUGAAGUUUACUAGCAGACUGGCCACAGCUUGCUGCACUGGGUUAAAGAUAUAGGCCUUGGUGUCUCCUCAUCUGAGAGCAGGUAGAUUGCCUUUUCUUUGCUCUCUGCUCCCCUUCCUGGUGCCCUGGCAGUGGGGACAAAGAAGACGACACACUAGAAUGGAGAGAGUUCACAUUAUAGAGGAAAACAGCCUACUACUGCUACUGGUUAAUCUAACUGCAGAGUUGAGGUCUAUGCUGUAGAAGUGAAGAUCAGAACCCUGUUGAUGAACUGAGGAUCAAUGUGGUUUAACAUGAUGGAAUUAAUUUUUUCAGUUUGUUUAGGAAAUCACAUUGAGAAAAACAUUAAACAAAUGUGAAGUAGAACUUCAUUAUGUACCAACACGUUGGCUUUAUAGCCAACUGCAUUCACUUACUGCAUUGAACUUUUUGCUUAAUUGUGUUUUAAAA